AACGAACGCUGGCGGCAGGCCUAACACAUGCAAGUCGAACGCGCGUAGCAAUACGCGAGUGGCGCACGGGUGAGUAACACGUGGGAAUCAACCCUGAGGUUCGGAAUAACCGCGGGAAACUGCGGCUAAUACCGGAUGUCCCCCAUGGGGGAAAGGAUUUAUCGCCUUGGGACGAGCCCGCGUCCGAUUAGCUAGUUGGUGAGGUAACGGCUCACCAAGGCUACGAUCGGUAGCUGGUCUGAGAGGAUGACCAGCCACACUGGAACUGAGAUACGGUCCAGACUCCUACGGGAGGCAGCAGUGGGGAAUAUUGGGCAAUGGAGGCAACUCUGACCCAGCCAUGCCGCGUGGGUGACGAAGGUCUUCGGAUUGUAAAGCCCUUUCGG
rnacentral:rRNA from 1 species